rnacentral:lncRNA from 1 species
UGGGAAUGAGAGUUUAAAAGAAAUGCAUGCUGAGUGCGGCAGCUGCUGGGAGCAAACAUGAGUUUAUCUUGUGUUGACUUUGGUUAUCUGUGUUCCUGGCGUCUUCCCAACUGUGUGUUUUGCCGUGUUUUCAAGUCUGCAAUUCCUUCUCCUGCCCUGUCAAGUUAAUUACUUCAGUUUGAUUUGUUUGGAUUUUUAGUUACACUCUGUAUGUACUUUGUUUUGGACUGAAUUUCCUCCUCUUAAAGGCUGUCCCUGGGAGAGUUUUUCUCCAGCUAGAAGGUAACCUGGACAUUGGGGGCAAAGUUGGAGAUAAUAAAGGGACUUUUCUUGCUUAUCUAACUGGGUUGUCUUUGUGCCACGCCCCUUUGGGUCAUCACAACAUGUCAGAGAAGCUGUAAUAGUGCUGUGCCAUGCCCGGGUCAUCACAGGAACUGUUGAAUGACACAAAUUAUCCGACACUAUUGAGGAAGCCCCCCCUUUUUUUAAAAAAAAAAGAUUAUUAAAGCCGAAAGACGGAGAGCAGGUAUGUAAGCUUCCGUUAGCUAAGUGAUACUGAUCGAUAGGACAAGGAAUGUCAACAGUAUUUAUAGUGCUACACCUGUUCCCUUGCACACAACUUGGGGCAACAGCCUCUUUGGAUGGAAACAAGCCGGUUUAAUUUCCUUCCUCCCUGGAAGGGACGUGCCUCGGCUGUAGAGGACUCUAAAUUAAACGCGCUUUCUUCCUUGCCCAGGUUCAAAAGGAAAUACCGACUGAAAUACGUCGAAAAGCGAGCUUUCCGGGAAAUCACAUUAUAGAAGCGCAAAAAUUAGCAUCCCGAGAUCUCCCACGUGUUUCAUUAAAACGCCGCAAACCAACCUCGAGUCUGUUUUGCUGGAUUCUUUCCCCUUUCCUCUGGGUUAUCCUCCCCCCCACCGCCUUCAACCAACCAGAGACCCUCGUCUCUUCUCCUUUGUCUUUAACCCUGGAGACGAUAUUCCAGGGGGUGCGAAAAACUUGGGUUUAGAAGUUUCCAAAUUAUAGUGUGUGUGUGCAGAAUUAUUAUAUGCUUAUCGUUAUUUUUGAAGAGGUGCGUGAGAAUAUACCGUGUUUCCACAAAAAUAAGACCCUGUCUUAUAUAUUUUUUUGGGCCACCCCAAAAGGCACCAGGUCUUAUUUUCGGUGGGUGUCAUCCACUGACUAACCUCACUUGUGCGUGUCGCCCCCCGGCCUCCUUUUCGCUGUCAGAGGCCUUCAGGAACUACUUCUUCUGUAGCCAGCUUUCCUGAAGGCCUCUGCAGCC